UACGUAGGGUGCAAGCGUUAAUCGGAAUUACUGGGCGUAAAGCGUGCGCAGGCGGUUUUUGUAAGUCUGUCGUGAAAUCCCCCGGGCUCAACCUGGGAAUUGCGAUGGAGACUGCAAGGCUAGAAUCUGGCAGAGGGGGGGUAGAAUUCCACGUGUAGCAGUGAAAUGCGUAGAUAUCUGGAGGAACACCGGGUGGCGAAGGCGGCAUCCUGGACCGAGAUUGACGCUGAGGCGGCGAAAGCCCAGG
rnacentral:rRNA from 1 species